rnacentral:rRNA from 1 species
CUUCCCUCUUUCUUCGUGCUUCACACCUGCAAGUCGAACGGAAAGGCUCCUGCUUGCAGGGGUACUCGAGUGGCGAACGGGUGAGUAACACGUGGGUGAUCUGCCCUGCACUUCGGGAUAAGCCUGGGAAACUGGGUCUAAUACCGGAUAGGACGAUGGUUUGGAUGCCAUUGUGGACAGUUUUUCGGUGUGGGAUGAGCUCGCGGCCUGUCAGCUUGUUGGUGGGGUAAUGGCCUACCAAGGCGUCGACGGGUAGCCGGCCUGAGAGGGUGUACGGCAAAAUGGGGAUUGAGCUAAGGCCCGGACUCCUACGGGAGGAAGCAGUGGGGAAUAUUGCACAAUGGGGGCAAGCCUAAUCAAGCGCCGCCGGGUGGGGGAUGACGGCCUUCGGGUUGUAAACUCCUUUCGCUAGGGACGAAGCGCAAGUGACGGUACCUGGAGAAGAAGCACCGGCUAACUACGUG